CGGAUGGGGAGCCAGUGGAGGUUCUGGAGGACAGGAGUGAUGUGGUCUCGGGAGCGGAAGAUCUCCGUCACACCCUGGCGCUCUGAUUUGAUGCAGUAGCAGUCGGGCCUCGCUCUCAUGUGAUCCAGGAUUUCUCUGAGAUCUCUUUGCUUCCUGUGGAUCAGGAGGACGGAGCAGCCGGAGGGGCGGAGGAGCUCCUCUCUCUCCAGAGACAGCAGGUCAGGGAGGUACUGCUGGGGGUCGUGGUCCAUCAGCACCAGACUGAAGCCCUCACUGCUCCCUUCAUCAAGAUCAGUGAGCAAAGAAGGCAACGUGUGUAUGGCCUCAGCUGAGCUAGAAGUCAACACCUGGAACUGCAAAGAGAACAGGAAGAUGGGUUAGCAUCUCUCCUUUCAAUGUUCUGUUAAGAGUAGCAAGUUUGCCACUUGACCUCUUUAUUUAUUAUUUUUAUUAUAUCCUUUAUUUGAUCAGGAGUAGAAGACUCAUUGAGAUUCAAAACACUCUUUUCAAGACAGACAGCAAAACAAAUAAAACACACAAAAAGACAAAUCUAAACGAAAAACAAAUUAGAUAUGAAAGACCUGCAACUGUACCUGCUUCCAAAUGAUUAAGAAUCCCUUUCAGUGUGUCCCUUGAAUAGGACCAGCUUUUGAAUAUGUAUAUGAUUUGCAACGGAUUCGAAAGAGAGGGCGCAGUAUACUGAAAUGCCCUUUUUUCCCCCUUCAGUAUGGACUUGGAAGGAGUAGAGUAAGUCCUGGGAUGCAGACCAAGGAUAGUAUUAUAUAUAAGAAUAGUCCAAUGAUUAAAUCCGGGUCACAAGGCAGACCAUCCAGGCAGAUAAUACAGAGAGCAUUUAGGGCUUUGAUAUGACUAAUACAUCUCAGUGCAUCAUGGAAGAGCGUAUGCAGGGUUUGUAGGCAUUGUGAAGAUGCAUGCAUGCAUCAUUGGAAAAGUCCAGCACAGACAUGAUUACAGAAUACAUUCAAGCAAAAGCAAGACUUGUUUCUAAAAUAAAACCUAUUUUUAACAGUAUUUCAGUAGUUGCUGAGUGUGAGGCUUAAACGAGAAAAACGUCAUCAUCUGUGUUUCCAAAGCACUUGUAUUUGAAUGUGGUAAAUUGAAGAAGCUGAUCCACCCUGUGUGUACCUGGGAGUGUUUGAAGCCAGACACCAGAAUGAUUUCCUCCCCCAGCUCUGCAGUGAGGGGGUCCAGCUCCACUGUGAACAGUCUGCCAGCAGGGGGCAGCAGACGCAGCAGGCGCACAGAGCUGUACCCACAGUGCAUCCCCAGCUCCAACACCAGGGGGGGGCGGACCCUCUGCACCACCUCCUCCAACACCCCACCUGACAGAGAGGACAAGGACCAGGCUUCACGAUGACUUCAGGAGCCACAGGUCCCCGUUAGAGACACUCACUGCAUAGAUACAAUAAUAAUACAUCAAAUAUAAAAUACGUGUGGUCAAAAACACGUAUAUUUACUUUACGUUUUUUUUUACUUUUAUGUAUGCACCACGACACCAAGUCAAAUUCCUCGUACGUGUCAACCUGGUAAUAAACCCGUUUCUGAUUCU